rnacentral:rRNA from 1 species
GACGAACGCUGGCGGCGUGCCUAAUACAUGCAAGUUGAGCGCUGAAGGUUGGUACUUGUACCAACUGGAUGAGCAGCAAACGGGUGAGUAACGCGUGGGGAAUCUGCCUUUGAGCGGGGGACAACAUUUGGAAACGAAUGCUAAUACCGCAUAAAAACUUUAAACACAAGUUUUAAGUUUGAAAGAUGCAAUUGCAUCACUCAAAGAUGAUCCCGCGUUGUAUUAGCUAGUUGGUGAGGUAAAGGCUCACCAAGGCGAUGAUACAUAGCCGACCUGAGAGGGUGAUCGGCAACAUUGGGACUGAGACACGGCCCAAACUCCUACGGGAGGCAGCAGUAGGGAAACUUCGGAAAUGGACGAAAGUCUGACCGAGCAACGCCGGGGGAGUGAAGAAGGUUUUCGGAUCGUAAAACUCUGUUGGUAGAGAAGAACGUUGGUGAGAGUGGAAAGCUCAUCAAGUGACGGUAACUACCCAGAAAGGGACGGCUAACUACGUG